rnacentral:rRNA from 1 species
AAGGUAGCAUAAUAAUUUGCCUUUUAAUUGGAGGCUGGCAUGAACGGAUAAACGAGAAUAAAGCUGUCUCAAAAGAAGCCAUAAAAAUUAAGUUUUAGGUGAAGACGCCUAAAUUACCCUAAAGGACAAAAAGACCCUGUUGAGCUUAACCCUCUACAAACCUAUAAACUUUGUUCAGGUUUAGUUGGGGCGACUAAUGGAGAAACAAAGCUCCUUUACAACAAAGACCUCGUGUCACCACUAAUGACCUGCUUAAGCAAUCAAUAGAAAAGCUACCACAGGGAUAACAGACUAAUCCUCCUCAAGAGCCCAAAUUGACAGGAGGGCUUGGCACAUCGAUGUUGGCUUAAGGUAUCCUAUAAGUGCAGCCGCUUAACCGGAAGGUUCGUUCAACCUUUAAUUCCUUACGUGAUCUGAGUUCAGACCGG